GCUCCUUCUUCAUGACAUCUGCGGUGUGAGCUCUCUGGCUUUGUGUGAUUAAGCAUCUGUGUUUGCUAUAUUGUCUCCCCUUUGUUUCCAAAAAAGGCAAAAAUGAUGAAGAGAGAGAAAGACUGAGGUGGUGACGGGGCGAGAAAUUAUGUAACUUUGAAGAAUAUCGUCAGUCCUUUAAUUCUGAAGAUAAGUCUCCCAAUUUUAUCUGAUAAAGAAAAAUUGUUAUAAAAUCCUGAAACUUACAGCUUGGAGAAAGUUUUUUGAGAUAAGGAUUGGGUUGUUGAAGUAUUAUACUUAUUUUGGAAGAAAGAUUUUUUCAAAAUAGGAAAGGUUCUCCUUAAAUUUUUAUUUUUUUAUUUUUGUAGAGAGAAAUUUUAUUAUUUUAUUUUUUAUUAUUUUUU
rnacentral:misc_RNA from 1 species